rnacentral:misc_RNA from 1 species
GAUGAAGAACGUAGCAAAAUGCGAUAAGUAAUGUGAAUUGCAGAAUUCAGUGAAUCAUCGAAUCUUUGAACGCACAUUGUGCCCGCUGGUAUUCCGGCGGGCAUGCCUGUUCGAGCGUCAUUUCAACCCUCAAGCCCCCGGGUUUGGUGUUGGGGAUCGGCUCUGCCCUUCUGGGCGGUGCCGCCCCCGAAAUACAUUGGCGGUCUCGCUGCAGCCUCCAUUGCGUAGUAGCUAACACCUCGCAACUGGAACGCGGCGCGGCCAUGCCGUAAAACCCCAACUUCUGAAUGUUGACCUCGGAUCAGGUAGGAAUACCCGCUGAACUUAAGCAUAUCAAUAAGCGGAGGA